rnacentral:rRNA from 1 species
UACGUAGGGGGCAGACGUUAAUCGGAAUUACUGGGCGUAAAGCGUGCGCAGGCGGUUUUCUAAGAGAGAUGUGAAAUCCCCGGGCUUAACCUGGGAACUGCGUUUCUUACUGGCAGGCUAGAGUGUGGCAGAGGGGGGUGGAAUUCCACGUGUAGCAGUGAAAUGCGUAGAGAUGUGGAGGAACACCGAUGGCGAAGGCAGCCCCCUGGGCUAACACUGACGCUCAUGCACGAAAGCGUGGGGAGCAAACAGG